UGAACGCUGGCGGCGUGCCUAAUACAUGCAAGUCGAGCGAACGGACGAGAAGCUUGCUUCUCUGAUGUUAGCGGCGGACGGGUGAGUAACACGUGGAUAACCUACCUAUAAGGCUGGGAUAACUUCGGGAAACCGGAGCUAAUACCGGAUAAUAUUUUGAACCGCAUGGUUCAAAAGUGAAAGACGGUCUUGCUGUCACUUAUAGAUGGAUCCGCGCUGCAUUAGCUAGUUGGUAAGGUAACGGCUUACCAAGGCAACGAUGCAUAGCCGACCUGAGAGGGUGAUCGGCCACACUGGAACUGAGACACGGUCCAGACUCCUACGGGAGGCAGCAGUAGGGAAUCUUCCGCAAUGGGCGAAAGCCUGACGGAGCAACGCCGCGUGAGCGAUGAAGGUCUUCGGAUCGUAAAACUCUGUUAUUAGGGAAGAACAUAUGUGUAAGUAACUGUGCACAUCUUGACGGUACCUAAUCAGAAAGCCACGGCUAACUACGUG
rnacentral:rRNA from 1 species